rnacentral:siRNA from 1 species
UGCAGUGCGGUUUUGGGUGCGGUU